GAUGAACGCUGGCGGCAUGCCUAAUACAUGCAAGUCGAACGCUUCUUAUUGAAAGCUUGCUUUGAAUAAGAGGAGUGGCGAACGGGUGAGUAACACGUAGAUAACCUGCCUAUGAGACUGGGAUAACGGAUGGAAACGUCUGCUAAUACCGGAUAGGUAAGUAAGAGGCAUCUCAAACUUAUUAAAGUCGGGAUACGACGCUGAUAGAUGGAUCUGCGGUGCAUUAGCUAGUUGGUGAGGUAAAGGCCCACCAAGGCAAUGAUGCAUAGCCGGCCUGAGAGGGUGAACGGCCACAUUGGGACUGAGACACCGCCCAAACUCCUACGGGAGGCAGCAGUAGGGAAUUUUCGGCAAUGGGGGGAACCCUGACCGAGCAAUGCCGCGUGAGUGAAGACGGCCUUCGGGUUGUAAAGCUCUGUUGUAAGGGAAGAACGGUGAGCAGAGGGAAUGCUGUUCAAGUGACGGUACCUUACCAGAAAGCCACGGCUAACUACGUGCCAGCAGCCGCAGUAACAC
rnacentral:rRNA from 1 species